rnacentral:rRNA from 1 species
GUAGGGAAUCUUGCGCAAUGGGCGAAAGCCUGACGCAGCCAUGCCGCGUGAAUGAUGAAGGUCUUAGGAUUGUAAAAUUCUUUCACCGGGGACGAUAAUGACGGUACCCGGAGAAGAAGCCCCGGCUAACUUCGUGCCAGCAGCCGCGGUAAUACGAAGGGGGCUAGCGUUGCUCGGAAUUACUGGGCGGAAAGGGAGCGUAGGCGGAUAGUUUAGUCAGAGGUGAAAGCCCAGGGCUCAACCUUGGAAUUGCCUUUGAUACUGGCUAUCUUGAGUAUGGAAGAGGUAUGUGGAACUCCGAGUGUAGAGGUGAAAUUCGUAGAUAUUCGGAAGAACACCAGUGGCGAAGGCGACAUACUGGUCCAUUACUGACGCUGAGGCUCGAAAGCGUGGGGAGCAAACAGGAUUAGAUACCCGAGUAGUCC